rnacentral:rRNA from 1 species
CAGCGACGCCGCGAUGGGUGAAGAAGGCCUGCGGGUUGUAAAGCCCUUUCGGUGGGGAAGAAAAGCCUCGACCUAAUACGUCGGGGUCUUGACGUAACCCAUAGAAGAAGCACCGGCUAACUCUGUGCCAGCAGCCGCGGUAAUACAGAGGGUGCGAGCGUUAAUCGGAAUUACUGGGCGUAAGGCGCGCGUAGGCGGCUUUGCAAGUCGGGUGUGAAAUCCCCAGGCUUAACCUGGGAACUGCAUUCGAGACUGCAUUGCUAGAGUAUGGGAGAGGGAAGUGGAAUUUCAGGUGUAGCGGUGAAAUGCGUAGAUAUCUGAAGGAACAUCAGUGGCGAAAGCGACUUCCUGGACCAAUACUGACGCUCAUGUGCGAAAGCGUGGGGAGCAAACAGGAUUAGAUACCCUGGUAGUCCACGCCAUAAACGAUGAGAACUGGAUGUCGGGAGGGUCUGCCUCUCGGUGUCGUAGCUAACGCGUUAAGUUCUCCGCCUGGGGAGUACGGCCGCAAGGUUG